rnacentral:rRNA from 1 species
AACGCGAAGAACCUUACCAGGGCUUGACAUCCCGUGCAUAGCAUAGAGAUAUGUGAAAUCCUACGGGACACGGAGACAGGUGGUGCAUGGUUGUCGUCAGCUCGUGUCGUGAGAUGUUGGGUUAAGUCCCGCAACGAGCGCAACCCUUAUUGUUAGUUGCCAUCAUUAAGUUGGGCACUCUAACGAGACUGCCGGUGACAAAUCGGAGGAAGGUGGGGACGACGUCAAAUCAUCAUGCCCCUUACGUCCUGGGCUACACACGUACUACAAUGGCUGAAACAAAGGGAAGCGAAGCUGUGAAGUGGAGCAAAUCCCAAAAUACAGUCUCAGUUCGGAUUGUAGGCUACAACUCGCCUACAUGAAGUCGGAAUUGCUAGUAAUCGCGAAUCAGAAUGUCGCGGUGAAUACGUUCCCGGGUCUUGUACACACGC